rnacentral:rRNA from 1 species
GACGAACGCUGGCGGCGUGCUUAACACAUGCAAGUCGAGCGGUAAGGCCCCUUCGGGGGUACACGAGCGGCGAACGGGUGAGUAACACGUGGGUGACCUGCCCUCAGCUCUGGGAUAAGCCUGGGAAACUGGGUCUAAUACCGGAUAUGACUCCAUGACGCAUGUCGUGGGGUGGAAAGCCUUGUGCGGCUGGGGAUGGGCCCGCGGCCUAUCAGCUUGUUGGUGGGGUGANGGCCUACCAAGGCGACGACGGGUAGCCGGCCUGAGAGGGCGACCGGCCACACUGGGACUGAGACACGGCCCAGACUCCUACGGGAGGCAGCAGUGGGGAAUCUUGCGCAAUGGGCGAAAGCCUGACGCAGCGACGCCGCGUGA